UGUAUGCAGCUAUUGAGGGUCUGCUUCAUUUGAAUUUAAGCAGAUGUAACAUGACUGGUGAUGGGUGCGAUAAAUUUUCAAGGCUAAAGGGUUUAAAAGCUCUCAAUUUAGGAUUCAAUGAUAUUUCAGAUGAUGUUUUGGUACAUCUGAAAGGUUUGAUAAAUUUGGAGAGCUUAAAUCUGGAUUCAUGUAUAAUUCGUGAUAAUGGACUGGUUAACUUAGCAGGCCUUCAUCGUUUAAAAUGUU